rnacentral:rRNA from 1 species
GACGAACGCUGGCGGCGCGCCUAAUGCAUGCAAGUCGAGCGACGCAUGCCCGGUGGGUAACCACGGGGUAUGACGGAGCGGCGAACGGGUGAGUAACACGUGAGUAACCUGCCCCGAAGAUCGGGAUAGCCCGGGGAAACCCGGAUUAAUACCGAAUACCCUCUCUGGAUCGCAUGGUCCGGUGAGGAAAAGCCUUUGUGCUUCGGGAUGGACUCGCGGCCUAUCAGCUAGUUGGUGAGGUAACGGCUCACCAAGGCAACGACGGGUAGCUGGUCUGAGAGGACGAUCAGCCACACUGGGACUGAGACACGGCCCAGACUCCUACGGGAGGCAGCAGCAGGGAAUCUUGUCCAAUGGGCGAAAGCCUGAGACAGCGACGCCGCGUGAGGGAUGAAGGCCUUCGGGUUGUAAACCUCUUUCAGGAGGGACGAAAUUGACGGUACCUCCAGAAGAAGCCCCGGCUAACUACGUG